rnacentral:lncRNA from 1 species
GUCUGAUUGAAACAAAAUCAGCCAGAAACACACACACAUGCACACACACACACACACACACACACACACACACACACACACACACACACCUGGCCUCUCAGCAAAAAGAAUCACUGGUGAAUGGUGUAUGGGGUUCUCACAUGCAAAGGAAGCCACACAGAGUAAGAUUUAAGAGCCUUGAAAUGGAAACACCAUGCUGCCACCAUAUGAUUGAGGCCCACUGAGUUCCGAAACUAGGCUGUGUUCAGAUUCCUGACCUGCAGAAACAGUAAGCUGCCUUGGGGUGAACAGCUGUCCUCUGCCAUGCCCUCACCAUGCCCUUUCUGCCUUGGACUCAGCCAACUUUGGACUGAACCCACUGAAACUUGGCAGUUAAACUUCACUGAGUCUUAGAGGGGACAUCAGAGUGCUGCCGAAGGACUACCAAGGUGUGAUGUGUCAAGCUGGACCAGAAGCGGAGAGCCUGAG